rnacentral:rRNA from 1 species
AGUGAACGCUGGCGGCAUGCCUAACACAUGCAAGUCGAACGGCAGCACAGUGAUAGCUUGCUGUUACGGCUGGGGAGUGGCGGACAGUAACGGGAUACAUCCCUGUCUACUUUUUCUUGGGAACUGACGUAGGGGAUCUUACGCUAGUAGUGCUUACGAUGUACGGGUGGGAGCAGCGGAGCUUCGUACAUUUCGGGAGUGAAUGAGCGGAUGACGGGUUAGCUAGUUGGCGGGGUAAAGGCCCACCGAGGCGCUGAUCCGUAGCUGGUCUGAGAGGAUGAUCAGCCACACUGGAAGUGAGACACGGUCCAGACUCCUACGGGAGGCAGCAGUGGGGAAUAUUUGUCAAUGGGCGCAAGCCUGAUCCAGCCAGCCAGCGUGGGUGAAGAAGGCAUUCGGGUUGGAAAGCACUUUUGUUGGGAAGUAAAAGAAGUAGGUUAAUACCUCGCUGUUUUGACGGUACCCAAAGAAUAAGCACCGGCUAACUUCGUG